CAAACAAAAUGGUGAGAACUGAGGAGCAAAAAUAUAUACAAUUUAUUUCAUCAUGUGAGAAAAACUACAAAAGCUUAAAAGAGCAGCUUAGCACCAGAAGCAGAGUUGUGAACAAAACUAGCAAGCAUCACAUGGCUCUUUCAUGAACCACCCAAAAUGAAUAUUCAAUGACCCCAUGGAAGUGACUAGACAUAUUACCCAGUAAGGAAGAUUUAACUACUUGGGUGCAUUACCCCAAAUCAAUGAAUUUUUCUAAAACACUAGAAAAAACAUCUUAACAAGGAGAUGUCAAUAAAGUUGCGCUAUAUUUGAACUUCGAAGAUAAGCAAAAGAAUCCUUCACAAAAGAGAAAUCAUCCUCUAAAAGCAGUCCAGGUAGGAUGGGGUAAGAACAACCCCUUCUAGUAGACAUGAAAGGGUCUAUAUCUUUGAUGUUUCUUUCAAAAAUCAAUGAAAUUUUUCAAGUUCUCUUUACGAGCAUCUUCACAAGGAGAAAUCAUAAACAACUUAAAGCUUGUUGAUAGGCAAUCAUCAAUUAACUAAAGCUAUCUUCGUACUUCAAAUUAUCAGGGAAGGCAGUCUUCACAAAGGCGAAAUUUUUCUCUAGAAACCAGUCUUCAAAUAGGAGGGCAGAGAACAAGUGAAAAAAAUCCACAGAAGUGCCAACAUGCUGUACAAAAAACCACUCCUAAGUAAAGAACUUAAUCAGUACACACUACAAUCCAUUGUCAGCAGUAAAGAAAAGGUUCCCCCAUCAACUCAAAUGGCACAGAGUACUCAAUUCAGAUGCCAGAAAGAAUAUCCACUGCUAAAUCCUGCGUAUUUUACCCAAGUGCAAUGACAAAUCUCACAGAUCAAUUAAGAAUACUCAAAUGGUUGGAAAGAAAGAAAUCAGUUGCCAGCAGCAUAUCUACCACAAGUAUUGAGCAAAAAGGCACAUACGUGCAAGAAGACACAUUAAUCAUCAGUAACUAUUAAACACCCAGUAGUUGGUUACUCUGUAUAUGAAUUGUCUCCAGACAUUGUAAGUGG